AAAGGAAAGAGAGAAAUAGAGAGCUUUAGAAAAUUCUAUUUAACUCUAUAGUUGCAGGUUAACAAUUUGAGCUCUGAAUUUUUCUUGUUGUAAUU